rfam:Myotis lucifugus cont2.30069, whole genome shotgun sequence.
CUAAAGGCCCUUUUUAGGGCCACCCAUAGAGUCCUAGGAAGAGCUG